rnacentral:rRNA from 1 species
UACAGAGGGGGCAAGCGUUGUUCGGAAUUACUGGGCGUAAAGGGCGCGUAGGCGGCCUUCUAAGUCAGACGUGAAAUCCCUCGGCUCAACCGGGGAACUGCGUCUGAGACUGGAAGGCUUGAAUCCGGGAGAGGGAUGUGGAAUUCCGGGUGUAGCGGUGAAAUGCGUAGAUAUCUGGAGGAACACCGGUGGCGAAGGCGGCAUCCUGGACCGGUAUUGACGCUGAGGCGCGAAAGCCAGGGGAGCAAACGGG